rnacentral:rRNA from 1 species
UACGAAGGGGGCUAGCGUUGUUCGGAAUUACUGGGCGUAAAGCGCGCGCAGGCGGUCCUUUAAGUCGGGGGUGAAAGCCCAGAGCUCAACUCCGAAACUGCAUUCGAUACUGCCGUGCUUGAGGACUGGAGAGGAGACUGGAAUUUACGGUGUAGCGGUGAAAUGCGUAGAUAUCGUAAGGAAGACCAGUGGCGAAGGCGGGUCUCUGGACAGUUCCUGACGCUGAGGCACGAAGGUCAGGGGAGCAAACGGG